AAUAUUGGUCAAUGGGCGAGAGCCUGAACCAGCCAAGUCGCGUGAAGGAUGAAGGUUCUAUGUAUUGUAAACUUCUUUUGUCCGAGGGUAAAAAAGGCCACGUGUGGCUUCUUGCAAGUAUCGGACGAAUAAUCAUCGGCUAACUCCGUGCCAGCAGCCGCGGUAAUCCGGAGGAUGCAAGCGUUAUCCGGAUUUAUUGGGUUUAAAGGGUGCGUAGGCUGUUCGUCAAGUCAGAGGUGAAAUACCACAGCUUAACUGUGGAACUGCCUUUGAUACUGGCGAGCUGGAAUACGGAUGCCGUGGGAGGAAUGAGUAGUGUAGCGGUGAAAUGCAUAGAUAUUACUCAGAACACCGAUUGCGAAGGCAUCUCACGAAUCCGUCAUUGACGCUGAGGCACGAAAGCGUGGGGAUCAAACA
rnacentral:rRNA from 1 species